rnacentral:rRNA from 1 species
UCAACCAUAGAAUUGCCGUUGAAACUGGGAGGCUUGAGUAUGUUUGAGGCAGGCGGAAUGCGUGGUGUAGCGGUGAAAUGCUUAGAUAUCACGCAGAACCCCGAUUGCGAAGGCAGCCUGCCAAGCCAUUACUGACGCUGAUGCACGAAAGCGUGGGGAUCAAACAGGAUUAGAUACCCUGGUAGUCCACGCAGUAAACGAUGAUCACUAGCUGUUUGCGAUACACUGUAAGCGGCACAGCGAAAGCGUUAAGUGAUCCACCUGGGGAGUACGCCGGCAACGGUGAAACUCAAAGGAAUUGACGGGGGCCCGCACAAGCGGAGGAACAUGUGGUUUAAUUCGAUGAUACGCGAGGAACCUUACCCGGGUUUGAACGCAUUUUGACAGCUCUGGAAACAGAGCCUCUAGCAAUAGCGAUUUGCGAGGUGCUGCAUGGUUGUCGUCAGCUCGUGCCGUGAGGUGUCGGCUUAAGUGCCAUAACGAGCGCAACCCUUGCCACUAGUUACUAACAGGUAAAGCUGAGGACUCUGGUGGGACUGCCAGCGUAAGCUGCGAGGAAGGCGGGGAUGACGUCAAAUCAGCACGGCCCUUACAUCCGGGGCGACACACGUGUUACAAUGGCGUGGACAAAGGGAGGCCACCUGGCGACAGGGAGCGAAUCCCCAAACCACGUCUCAGUUCGGAUCGGAGUCUGCAACCCGACUCCGUGAAGCUGGAUUCGCUAGUAAUCGCGCAUCAGCCAUGGCGCGGUGAAUACGUUCCCGGGCCUUGUACACACCGCCCGUCAAGCCAUGGGAGCCGGGGGUACCUGAAGUCCGUAAAAGAAAGGAUCGGCCUAGGGUAAAACUGGU